AGCAAUAGAUGGAUCUCAGAUUCGGGCAUAUAGAGAGAUGCUUCAAAGAAAUUGCUUGCAUAUUGUCUUAAUACUUUGGGAAUUAAUGCAAACAGGGAUCAGGUUGACUAUAAAAGGCCACAAGAUGGUGCAGCUAUUGACCAAUCCCUGCUUGUAGGCAAUGUCUAUGAUGAAGAUUCAGAAGAGGAGGACAUCUAUAACCCCCUAUGACUAUUACUAUCCUAGAAACCGAUGGAAGGUGAUUAUGGGAGAAGGGCUGUUCAAGGAUAUGAUAAGAGGUAGCAAAGAAUUCUCGCUCAAAGUUGAUAUUUCUAACUUCAAUGGGAUUUGAAUAUCGAGGAAUUCUUGGAUUGGAUAAUCAAUGUGGAGAGAU
rnacentral:misc_RNA from 1 species